rnacentral:rRNA from 1 species
AGCGAACGCUGGCGGCAGGCCUAACACAUGCCAGUCGAACGAACCUUUCGGGGUUAGUGGCGGACGGGUGAGUAACACGUGGGAACGUGCCUUUAGGUUCGGAAUAACUCAGGGAAACUUGUGCUAAUACCGAAUGUGCCCUUCGGGGGAAAGAUUAAUCGCCUUUAGAGCGGCCCGCGUCUGAUUAGCUAGUUGGUUGAGGUAAUGGCUCACCAAGGCGACGAUCAGUAGCUGGUCUGAGAGGAUGAUCAGCCACAUUGGGACUGAGACACGGCCCAAACUCCUACGGGAGGCAGCAGUGGGGAAUCUUGCGCAAUGGGCGAAAGCCUGACGCAGCCAUGCCGCGUGAAUGAUGAAGGUCUUAGGAUUGUAAAAUUCUCUCACCGGGGACGAUAAUGACGGUACCCGGAGAAGAAGCCCCGGCUAACUUCGUG